GUAUAGACCCGAAACCCGGUGAUCUAGCCAUGGGCAGGUUGAAGGUUGGGUAACACUAACUGGAGGACCGAACCGACUAAUGUUGAAAAAUUAGCGGAUGACUUGUGGCUGGGGGUGAAAGGCCAAUCAAACCGGGAGAUAGCUGGUUCUCCCCGAAAGCUAUUUAGGUAGCGCCUCGUGAAUUCAUCUCCGGGGGUAGAGCACUGUUUCGGCAAGGGGGUCAUCCCGACUUACCAACCCGAUGCAAACUGCGAAUACCGGAGAAUGUUAUCACGGGAGACACACGGCGGGUGCUAACGUCCGUCGUGAAGAGGGAAACAACCCAGACCGCCAGCUAAGGUCCCAAAGUCAUGGUUAAGUGGGAAACGAUGUGGGAAGGCCCAGACAGCCAGGAUGUUGGCUUAGAAGCAGCCAUCAUUUAAAGAAAGCGUAAUAGCUCACUGGUCGAGUCGGCCUGCGCGGAAGAUGUAACGGGGCUAAACCAUGCACCGAAGCUGCGGCAGCGACACUGUGUGUUGUUGGGUAGGGGAGCGUUCUGUAAGCCUGUGAAGGUGUACUGUGAGGUAUGCUGGAGGUAUCAGAAGUGCGAAUGCUGACAUAAGUAACGAUAAAGCGGGUGAAAAGCCCGCUCGCCGGAAGACCAAGGGUUCCUGUCCAACGUUAAUCGGGGCAGGGUGAGUCGACCCCUAAGGCGAGGCCGAAAGGCGUAGUCGAUGGGAAACAGGUUAAUAUUCCUGUACUUGGUGUUACUGCGAAGGGGGGACGGAGAAGGCUAUGUUGGCCGGGCGACGGUUGUCCCGGUUUAAGCGUGUAGGCUGGUUUUCCAGGCAAAUCCGGAAAAUCAAGGCUGAGGCGUGAUGACGAGGCACUACGGUGCUGAAGCAACAAAUGCCCUGCUUCCAGGAAAAGCCUCUAAGCAUCAGGUAACAUCAAAUCGUACCCCAAACCGACACAGGUGGUCAGGUAGAGAAUACCAAGGCGCUUGAGAGAACUCGGGUGAAGGAACUAGGCAAAAUGGUGCCGUAACUUCGGGAGAAGGCACGCUGAUAUGUAGGUGAAGUCCCUCGCGGAUGGAGCUGAAAUCAGUCGAAGAUACCAGCUGGCUGCAACUGUUUAUUAAAAACACAGCACUGUGCAAACACGAAAGUGGACGUAUACGGUGUGACGCCUGCCCGGUGCCGGAAGGUUAAUUGAUGGGGUCAGCGCAAGCGAAGCUCUUGAUCGAAGCCCCGGUAAACGGCGGCCGUAACUAUAACGGUCCUAAGGUAGCGAAAUUCCUUGUCGGGUAAGUUCCGACCUGCACGAAUGGCGUAAUGAUGGCCAGGCUGUCUCCACCCGAGACUCAGUGAAAUUGAACUCGCUGUGAAGAUGCAGUGUACCCGCGGCAAGACGGAAAGACCCCGUGAACCUUUACUAUAGCUUGACACUGAACAUUGAGCCUUGAUGUGUAGGAUAGGUGGGAGGCUUUGAAGUGUGGACGCCAGUCUGCAUGGAGCCGACCUUGAAAUACCACCCUUUAAUGUUUGAUGUUCUAACGUGGACCCGUGAUCCGGGUUGCGGACAGUGUCUGGUGGGUAGUUUGACUGGGGCGGUCUCCUCCUAAAGAGUAACGGAGGAGCACGAAGGUUGGCUAAUCCUGGUCGGACAUCAGGAGGUUAGUGCAAUGGCAUAAGCCAGCUUGACUGCGAGCGUGACGGCGCGAGCAGGUGCGAAAGCAGGUCAUAGUGAUCCGGUGGUUCUGAAUGGAAGGGCCAUCGCUCAACGGAUAAAAGGUACUCCGGGGAUAACAGGCUGAUACCGCCCAAGAGUUCAUAUCGACGGCGGUGUUUGGCACCUCGAUGUCGGCUCAUCACAUCCUGGGGCUGAAGUAGGUCCCAAGGGUAUGGCUGUUCGCCAUUUAAAGUGGUACGCGAGCUGGGUUUAGAACGUCGUGAGACAGUUCGGUCCCUAUCUGCCGUGGGCGCUGGAGAACUGAGGGGGGCUGCUCCUAGUACGAGAGGACCGGAGUGGACGCAUCACUGGUGUUCGGGUUGUCAUGCCAAUGGCACUGCCCGGUAGCUAAAUGCGGAAGAGAUAAGUGCUGAAAGCAUCUAAGCACGAAACUUGCCCCGAGAUGAGUUCUCCCUGACCCUUUAAGGGUCCUGAAGGAACGUUGAAGACGACGACGUUGAUAGGCCGGGUGUGUAAGCGCAGCGAUGCGUUGAGCUAACCGGUACUAAUGAACCGUGAGGCUUAACCUUACAACGCCGAAGGUGUUU
rnacentral:rRNA from 1 species